CCGAUAGUGAACCAGUACCGUGAGGGAAAGGCGAAAAGAACCCCGGCGAGGGGAGUGAAAAAGAACCUGAAACCGUGUACGUACAAGCAGUGGGAGCACAGGUUUACCUGUGUGACUGCGUACCUUUUGUAUAAUGGGUCAGCGACUUAUAUUCUGUAGCAAGGUUAACCGCAUAGGGGAGCCGGAGGGAAACCGAGUCUUAAUUGGGCGUUAAGUUGCAGGGUAUAGACCCGAAACCCGGUGAUCUAGCCAUGGGCAGGUUGAAGGUUGGGUAACACUAACUGGAGGACCGAACCGACUAAUGUUGAAAAAUUAGCGGAUGACCUGUGGCUGGGGGUGAAAGGCCAAUCAAACCGGGAGAUAGCUGGUUCUCCCCGAAAGCUAUUUAGGUAGCGCCUCGUGAAUUCAUCUCCGGGGGUAGAGCACUGUUUCGGCUAGGGGGCCAUCCCGGCUUACCAACCCGAUGCAAACUGCGAAUACCGGAGAAUGUUAUCACGGGAGACACACGGCGGGUGCUAACGUCCGUCGUGAAGAGGGAAACAACCCAGACCGCCAGCUAAGGUCCCAAAGUCAUGGUUAAGUGGGAAACGAUGUGGGAAGGCCCAGACAGCCAGGAUGUUGGCUUAGAAGCAGCCAUCAUUUAAAGAAAGCGUAAUAGCUCACUGGUCGAGUCGGCCUGCGCGGAAGAUGUAACGGGGCUAAACCAU
rnacentral:rRNA from 2 species